UACGUAGGGGGCUAGCGUUGUCCGGAAUCAUUGGGCGUAAAGGGCGCGUAGGCGGCCGGAUAAGUCAAAGGUGAAAUCCCUCGGCUCAACUGAGGAACUGCCUUUGAAACUGUUUGGCUCGAGUCCGGGAGGGGGUAGCGGAAUUCCCAGUGUAGCGGUGAAAUGCGUAGAUAUUGGGAGGAACACCAGUGGCGAAGGCGGCUACCUGGACCGGAACUGACGCUGAUGCGCGAAAGCGUGGGGAGCAAACAGG
rnacentral:rRNA from 1 species